rnacentral:rRNA from 1 species
GGCGGCGUGCCUAACACAUGCAAGUCGAACGCGAAAGUCCCGCAAGGGAUCAGUAGAGUGGCAAACGGGUGAGUAACACGUGGGUGACCUGCCUUCGAGUGGGGGAUAACGUCCCGAAAGGGACGCUAAUACCGCAUGACAUCCCGCCUUUUAAGAGGUGGAGCUUAAAGCUGGGGAUCGCAAGACCUGGCGCUUGAAGAGGGGCCCGCGCCUGAUUAGCUAGUUGGUGGGGUAACGGCUCACCAAGGCAACGAUCAGUAUCCGGCCUGAGAGGGCGGACGGACACACUGGGACUGAGACACGGCCCAGACUCCUACGGGAGGCAGCAGUGGGGAAUUGUUCGCAAUGGGCGCAAGCCUGACGACGCAACGCCGCGUGGAGGAUGAAGAUCUUCGGGUCGUAAACUCCUUUCGAUCGAGACGAACGACUUCCGGGUGAAUACUCCGGAAGAGUGACGGUACCGAGAGAAGAAGCCCCGGCUAACUCCGUGCCAGCAGCCGCGGUAAUACGGGGGGGGCAAGCGUUGUUCGGAAUUACUGGGCGUAAAGGGCUCGUA